rnacentral:lncRNA from 1 species
GCAUCCAUCCGUACAACCUGUGCCUUAUUGGAUGAUCUGGGCCUAUGCAUUAAUACCAAGAAAUCUUCUCUUCUUCCGACGCAGACUAUUACCUUCAUUGGAGCCUGCCUAGAUUCGAUAUUGGAGAAAGCCUUCCUUCCUCAGGACAGACAACAGACUCUUGCUCGCCACAUCCAUCGAAUGCGAUGAGACGGGACGGUCCCAGCGAAGUCCAUUCAGAGGAUCCUGGGACAUAUGGCUUCCAUGGUUGCUGCGGUUCCGCACGCCAGGCUUCGACUCCGUCCGUUACAACUCCUCUUCAACAAAAUGUUCCACUCUCAGAGAGACCCACCAUCGAAGUUAAUUCAAAUCCCAUCCUCGGUGCUUCAUUCUCUACUUUGGUGGUUGGUACCAGCCAAUCUGACUGUCGGAGUUCCCUUCAGGGCACGAUGUCCUUCGAUAACCCUCAGUACCGAUGCAUCUCUUCUGGGAUGGGGAUCGAUAUGCUCCGGCCUAUAUACCCAAGGCACGUGGAAUCGUCGAGAGUCCACAAGUCAUAUCAACUUCCUGGAGCUGUUGGCAGUAUUCAAAGCCCUACGCUCUUUCUAAGACAUUCUCCAACAUCGGGUCAUUCAGAUAACUUCGGACAACGUAGCUACCAUCUUCUAUCUGAACAAACAAGGGGGAACAAAGUCACUGACUUUGGCCAGACUUUCAAUGAAAAUUUGGGACUGGUGCAUUCUGAGAGACAUUAUGCUGAUGGCUGUUCAUCUAGCUGGUGCGGACAAUGUGCAAGCAGAUCUUCUCAGCAGGCACAUGUUCAUCUCUCACGAAUGGGAGCUAGAUCCUCACAUACGCGACCAUCUCUUUCAUCGCAGGGGUUCCCCCGACAUGGACUUAUUUGCAACCCAACAGAACAAGGUGUGCAAUGCUUACUGUUCGAGAGCAGGGAUUGGAGACGGAUCCUUAGGGGAUGCUUUCAUGAUCCCAUGGAACAACAUGAUCUUUUACACCUUCCCUCCAAUCCCUCUUGUGAUGAGAGUCAUAGCGAAGAUAGUAUACGAUCGAGCCUCAGGGAUUCUAGUUGUCCCUUGGUGGCCACGUCAAGCUUGGUUU